CUAAGUUUGAUGGCGACCGGCGCACGGGUGAGUAACACGUAUCCAACCUGCCGAUGACUCGGGGAUAGCCUUUCGAAAGAAAGAUUAAUACCCGAUGGCAUAGCUCUUCCGCAUGGUAGAACUAUUAAAGAAUUUCGGUCAUCGAUGGGGAUGCGUUCCAUUAGGUUGUUGGCGGGGUAACGGCCCACCAAGCCUUCGAUGGAUAGGGGUUCUGAGAGGAAGGUCCCCCACGUUGGAACUGAGACACGGUCCAAACUCCUACGGGAGGCAGCAUG
rnacentral:rRNA from 1 species